GACGAACGCUGGCGGCGUGCUUAACACAUGCAAGUCGAACGAAGUGGCGAACGGGUGAGUAAAGCGUAAUCAACCUGCCCUUCAGAGGGGGACAACAGUUGGAAACGACUGCUCAUACCGCAUACUGAAGGAGGGGAUUGCGUCUGAUUCGCUAGUUGGAGGGGUCACGGCCCACCAAGGCGAUGAUCAGUAGCCGGUCUGAGAGGAUGAACGGCAAAAUGGGGACUGCGGCACGGCCCAGACUCCUACGGGAGGCAGCAGUGGGGAAUCUUCCGCAAUGGACGAAAGUCUGACGGAGCAACGCCGCGUGAGUGAGGACGGCCUUCGGGUUGUAAAGCUCUGUUAAUCGGGACGCGGUACCGGAAUAGAAAGCCACGGCUAACUACGUGCCAGCCGCCGCGGUAAUAC
rnacentral:rRNA from 1 species